UCCAUAAUGGUGUAGUGGUUAGCAUUUCUGACUAGGACAUAGGAGACCAGGGUUCAAAUCCCUGUUGGGCCAUGAAG